UAAACAUCAAACAAAAUGCUCCCACCACCACCUCCUCCUCCUCCUCCUCCUCCUCCACCAUGGAUGAAUGGGGUUUUGCUGUUCUCCAUGAGCCAGCUGAGAAGGAUGGUGCGGCUUUUGAGGGGCCGGGGCCGGGGCCGCGGCCCAUGCACGUGGCUGUCGCUUGCCCCAUGGACCAAUAAGAACUUGCAGCCACUGCUGAAGGUUUGAAUUCCUGAGGGGCACCAGCAGACAAACUUAGAUUGAGGUCACCCCAGUUUUAGCCGAGGGGAGUAGGAGAAAGGUUGAUGUCACUCGGCCCCGCACAGCAACAAUGGCGCUCUUUUCUCGUGGGCGUCGGGGGGCAUCGCAGAGCGCGCGCACACACACCCACCCCCCAUUUGUUUUGGUAGGUUUCUCCACAGGACAGGGCCUUUUGUCUGCCUCUGUUGGUGUCCAAGCGCCAUAACCACAAGCGACACCGGUUGCUGUCGUCCGACCUGCAAUGUGGUUGUGGAAAUGCGUGAGAGGGCGAAGGGCGGGGACGGGGUUGGGUUGGGUUGGGUUGAGAUUCCGAGGUCACCAUCGCUUUCCUGCUGUCUAACAACAACUCACCCAACCUUUGCUUGCCUUUGACAACUUUUACCCACCUCACCACAACUUGAAGGCUGUCUUUGCUUGUCGCCUCCCCAAGGAUUUCUACUUGAUGUUUCGACCUACUGCGAGGAUAAAAUGCAUUGCUCUCUCAGAUGCUAUUUGUUGGUGCAUGAUGAUAAGAAUGCAGAAGGAAAUGUUGUUUCUGAAAGAUAGACAAAGUUAGCAUUGAUGCUGGAUAUUGAAAACAUGGAGGACCGGUUGUUCAGACUGCAGAUGUCGAAGAGGAAGUCUACUGCCCAAGAAAUGGCUAAUGGUGCUUCAUCUGCAAGCAAUGCUUUUGUUGCAAACGCAAGCCUUGCUAACUCAAUAAUUAUUCCGAGCUUUCAGAUCUUCCAUCACUUCUGUCAUUCUGGCCUUGCUUUGUGGAAGUUGACAGCAGCAUUGAAUCACAGCCGUAUUAUCAGCGAAGAAAUAUGCCCUGCAGACUAUUAAAAAGACAAGAUUUUGUUUCUUCUCUCUGUGGAGCCUUCUCUGAACAUUUAUCAUAUCUGCACCUCAAGACAGAUUGCAUGAUGUGGAUCGAUCGAGAACGAAGACCCGAAGGCAAUCAUGGAGAGAUGAGUCUUCUCGUGUGUCCUGCAUCUUAUUGAAAUGAUUGGAUUCAACCGCUAGAAGCAAGGAUCGAAGAGGAACAACAGGCACCGGCUAAAGACCAAAGAGAAGAGGUGGUGGAGCAGAAACAUCAUGCUGUAUUGAUUGAUAUCUUUUCCAUGGCAUGAACGAACGGGCUCAUCAAUGCACAUUCUUCAACAUAUAUUAUGGCUUGUGUAGACCCAAGACGACAGACAGACUGAAACAGAAGAGCAAGAGACCUAUAGGGUGAACUGAACUCACCCAGUUGUCUCCUUAGAUGAGAUGUUUUGUUACCUAGAUCUUGCUGCCGUCUAUCAUUUGCUUGCAACAUGUUAACUUGAUAACAUGGACAUGAUCUUUCAUGGAGAUGGACUGGCGUGCAGCAAAGGCCCCAAAGAGGAAGCCUGUCCUGUCACUUCAAACGACCAUGUCUACAAGGUCUGUGACAACUACUAGUCUCUGCAUGAUAUGAUGCUAAAGGAUCUUUCUUUAACCCUUGUCCAACCUCAGAAGCAAAAGAGAUCAAGCACUUGGGUGUCACAGGGAAGGCAACAUGAUGAUGUCUGAUAAAAAGAAAGAAAAGGAGAUGGAUUACACGGAAGACUGAAAAGUAGACAGAUGACCUCCACAUCCAUACUUGACACACAAAACAGCCCAGGUUCAAGAAGAGAUCCAACAAGAAAAGAAGGAAUCCAUCAAGUAUUAUUAUCUACAGGACAUUAAUCUGGUAGUGGCUCACUUUUCGAGUCUCACGGAUCAAAGAUCAAGUCUCCACAUUUGCAUUUCCAGCUCAGGGGCUUGUAGUUGGAGCUGUAGUCACCCCUCACGGUGGCCGUACCCAAGAAUUGCCUGCUUCGACUCUUCUUUUCUUGUGGGAUUACUGGCACCUGAACUGCUUCACAAUGGCCACAUGUGAUGCACCUCCUCUCGCAGAUUGGUGGUCUUGAUCCAACCAAGGCUCUUACCGUCGCCUUCUCCUCUCCCCUUCCCUGCAUUCUAAGAUAGUCAUAUGUUGUUAUCAGGCGUAGAGAUUGCAGUUCUCACCAGAAAUGAGCGAAGGCCUUACACUUGCAACCUCAAGAAGCGUAAGCAAUGAUCUACCUGCAACCAUGGCACUGCAAACUUACUACUGUACUGUCAGAAGGAAGUGAUUAGCCACAGAAAGAAAACAAGCUUACCUUCAACAGAAUGCUUGAUCGGAUUGUAGCUCAAGAGGAAAAGCAUUAAGAGGAGAAGACAGAGUGGACUUUUUGUUCCGAUACGAUCGAGAGGUCCCAUUUCUUAAUGGGAUUUGAUCGAGUAAAUGAUGAGUGGCAAAGGGAGAGGAGUUCGAGUUAGAAUGCAAAAGCUUGUUCUUCCAAAUCUGGGCUUUAUAAGCAACCACAUGCACAUGCACAUGCACAAGCAGAGGAAAGCUCCUGAAAGCCACUGCAAAGGUGAGGCGAUCAGGUUUGGGGGGACGCUGCAACGCAGCAGCUGUAUGCUUUCACUUUACCGUUCGAGCAGUCCCCAUCUUUACUGAUCGUCUUCUUCUGGGCCGACGGUGGACUCUUGUGGUUGUGCUGUUGCGGCAGAUUGGAUGCCGCACGUAGCAAAGCUCCCUCCUUUUCUCUUAGGACUGUAAACGAGGAGAGCAUAUGACUGCAUAAUGCAUGCAAACACUGCAACUUGUCAACGAUGAGCAUCGAGCCUUUUCAGAGUGCGUGGUGGUGUGCGCUAAAGUUGACAUGAACGCAUGAAUCAAUGAACACCAACUAUGACUUUGAGGGUGUUGCAGUGAUGCUCUUCUCUUGUUUUGAUUGGGAGAGAGAAUAUAUUCGGAUGCUUCUUUUCAUGCAUUGCU